GUGAGGAAUAUUGGUCAAUGGACGAGAGUCUGAACCAGCCAAGUAGCGUGCAGGAUGACGGCCCUAUGGGUUGUAAACUGCUUUUAUAUAGGGAUAAAGUCGGGGACGUGUCCCCGUUUGUAGGUACUAUAUGAAUAAGGACCGGCUAAUUCCGUGCCAGCAGCCGCGGUAAUACGGAAGGUCCGGGCGUUAUCCGGAUUUAUUGGGUUUAAAGGGAGCGCAGGCUGAUGAUUAAGCGUGACGUGAAAUGUAGCCGCUCAACGGCUGAACUGCGUCGCGAACUGGUUAUCUUGAGUGAGUUCGAUGUUGGCGGAAUUCGUGGUGUAGCGGUGAAAUGCUUAGAUAUCACGAAGAACUCCGAUUGCGAAGGCAGCCAACAAGGCCUUUACUGACGCUAAAGCUCGAAGGUGCGGGUAUCGAACAGG
rnacentral:rRNA from 1 species